CACAAAAAAGAGAAUUUUUGGUUGAUGUCACUUCUAUCCCAUGGAAAGCAAGCUAUACUCCAGGAAUUGGUUUUGUCCCUCUUGGAGAGUGGUUAUACUGACUUGUAGUUAUUGGUGAUUAAACCAAAAAUGCAUCACUCUCAUCUGUCACUAUCUUGUAUUUUUUAGCAGGAGAUGGAAAACAGGCUAUUUUCAGUCUAAGGUGAGUUUUGUGCAUUUGUCAUUGCCCUGG